UUUGCUAUGUUUCUCUCACUCCGGC
rnacentral:piRNA from 1 species